rnacentral:rRNA from 1 species
UACGGAGGGUGCAAGCGUUAAUCGGAAUUACUGGGCGUAAAGCGCGCGCAGGCGGUUUGUUAAGUCAGAUGUGAAAUCCCCGGGCUUAACCUGGGAACUGCAUUUGAAACUGGGAAGCUAGAGUAUCGUAGAGGGGGGGAGAAUUCCAGGUGUAGCGGUGAAAUGCGUAGAGAUCUGGAGGAAUACCGGUGGCGAAGGCGGCCCCCUGGACGAGGACUGACGCUCAGGUGCGAAAGCGUGGGGAGCAAACAGG